UCCUGGUCUAGUCUUGAAGUUACCUCCAAAAAUGCUCUCUCAAAUAUCUCAAUGCUUUUGGCAGAACGGAGAUUGGAAAAGCAGACAUGAAUAGGAGAACCUUUACCAAGAGAUCAAAGCCACCGUUUUCCUCCUAAGAAGGAAAAUCCAUGCCAUUGGCAGCUUGUUUAUCUGCAAGGAGUGUAUUUUGAUGACUUACUGCAGCAGUCUGAGAACUUCCAGCUGAUGCAAUAGAGAAUAUUUACACAAUUUCAGGCUGGCAAUGCAGAGGGAAUGUGCUGUGGAGAGGGCUGCUGUAUUGCAAAAUAUGCAGAUGGAGAAAGGAGCUAGUCAUCGAGAGGGUGGGGACUUCGCAGGAGCGAGUUCUUCUGGUGAGCUUCUUCUGUGAGAUAAGCUUUGCUCUGAGAAGGCUGCUGAGCAUAUGGUGGAACAUGGGAUCUAGUGACUCAUCCUGAAUUUUCCCACAUCAAAAUUGAAAUUUCAUUUUCUUUGCACAAAAAUACUGUCUUCCAGUACAUGUGGAUGGGGAGACAUCUGGAGAAAAAAGCAGCACAGGCAGAGCCGUGCCCUGGGGAUCGAGCGGCCGUGCCAGCCAUGAGCGAGCAGAGCCACGUCAACAGCCUGUUCCUCAACGAGGAUGCAGCCAAGAGGCUCAGUGCUGAGGGACGGGUCCAGAGGUUCCGGCAGGCGGUGCAGAAGCGGGCAGCACGGGCCAAGAAACGGAUGCACAGCAUCACCGCCGAGAGCGCCAAGAGCUUCUUCAGGAGAAAUGCCUUCGUCCUCUUCACCAUCGCUGCAGUCUUAUUAGGGAUCAUCCUGGCAUUUUCCCUUCGGCCCUACCAGCUGACCUAUCGCCAGAUCAAGUAUUUCUCCUUCCCAGGAGAGCUGCUGAUGCGUAUGCUCCAGAUGCUGGUUCUUCCUCUCAUUGUCUCUAGCUUGAUUACAGGAAUGGCCUCACUGGAUGGCAGAGCCUCAGGGAAGAUGGGGAUGCGGGCUGUGGUCUACUACAUGGUGACCACAAUCAUAGCAGUCUUCAUUGGCAUCCUCAUGGUGAUCAUCAUCCACCCAGGGAAAGGAUCCAAGGACAAGCUUCACCGAGAAGGCAGAAUUGAGCAAGUGCAGACCACAGAUGCCUUCAUGGAUUUGGUGAGGAAUAUGUUCCCGCCCAACCUGGUAGAAGCCUGCUUCAAACAGUACAAGACGCAGUACAGCACCAGGGUCUUCACCAGAACCGUUCUCCACAGCAGCAAUGUCACAGCAGGUGUGACAACCACUCCACUCCCUGUGCCUGAGAACUUCACUGGCAUCCUGGAGAACGUCACUCAUGCCCUGGGGACCAUCUCCGAGGUGCUGACCUUUGAAGAAGUCAUUCCCAUCCCAGGCUCAGCCAAUGGGGUGAACGCGCUGGGGCUGGUAGUGUUCUCCAUGUGCUUCGGUUUGGUGAUCGGCAGCAUGAAGCAGAAGGGACGGGCCCUGCGGGAGUUCUUUAACUGCCUCAACGAAGCCAUCAUGAGGCUGGUGGCCAUUAUCAUCUGGUAUGCCCCAGUUGGGAUCAUGUUUUUAAUUGCUGGCAAAAUCCUGGAGAUGGAUGACCUUGCAGUGAUGGGGGGCCAGCUGGGGAUGUACACGCUCACUGUCAUCGUUGGACUCCUCAUCCAUGCCCUCUGCAUCCUGCCGCUGCUCUACUUUAUCGUCACCCACAGGAACCCCUGGGUAUUCAUUGCAGGGCUUCUGCAGGCCCUCAUCACAGCCCUGGGCACCUCCUCAAGCUCAGCGACUCUGCCCAUCACCUUCAGGUGUUUGGAAGAAAACAAUGGUGUGGACAGGCGCAUCACGAGGUUUGUUCUGCCUGUGGGAGCUACAAUUAACAUGGAUGGCACUGCUCUGUACGAGGCCCUUGCAGCCAUCUUCAUUGCACAAGUCAACAACUAUGAACUUGACUUCGGGCAGAUCAUCACAAUAAGCAUCACUGCCACGGCAGCCAGCAUUGGAGCCGCAGGUAUUCCCCAGGCAGGACUGGUGACCAUGGUCAUAGUGUUGACAUCAGUGGGGCUGCCUACAGAAGACAUUACACUGAUCAUCGCUGUGGACUGGUUUCUAGACCGCCUUAGAACGACCACCAAUGUCCUGGGGGAUUCUCUGGGUGCUGGCAUUGUGGAGCAUCUCUCCCGGCACGAGCUGGAUGCACAGGACUGCGAACUUGGAAACAGCUGCAGAGUAGCAAAGCCUUUAUUUGGUCAGUGGCUUCCCCUGAGCAUGUAAAGCUUUUAGCAUUGGCCGUUUGGAGAUCUCUGGAGAGCCCCAGCACUCCUGUUCAACUCUUCACUGGCAAGUGUUUAUGACUAUUUGUCCAACUUCUCAAGAAAGCAUUGAAUUCUAAUCCUGAAGAGACUUCCUGUAUAUAAAGGGCAAACUGGUGGAUGAAUUGGAAGAAAAGAUUGAUGGAUUGGACUCUAGCUCAAAUAGGAAUCAAUUCUGGGAAGUCUGUGUCUUGGGUUAUACCUAGAGUCAAAAUAGAUGAUCGUAAGGGUCCCUUCUGGCUUUAUAAUAUAUGCACGUGCUUUCUGGUUUAGAGAUAUUGCAAAGGGUCCUCCUAGCUUGAUCAUUUUCAAAAGCUAUCUGAAAGGAUCCUAAUGAUACUUCUGUAAAAAUCAGCAGGACUCUAACCUGUUUUCAGUUGCUGUUAGCAGAUAUGUAAACAUACCACAAAAGGGGCUCUCCAUGUCACAUUGCAUCAAAAUGUCCUCAGUUGUUCCCACAAAGUAGCACACUCCAAGGCUGGCCAUUUGUGAUUUCCUACCUUCCACACAAGAUUAACGGAGCACAAACAAGUAGUCAUUUUUGAAUACUGCAAACCAGUCUACUGUGGGGAAUUUCAGUAUUCAGAUCAUAUUUUUUAGCUCUGGUGUUUACCCAUGUUGUUAACCAAUUUUUGAUUGGGAUUGUCUAUCUGUUUACAAUACCCAGACAGUAUUGUUAGGAAUUUGUUUAUGUAUAUAUGUGUGUGUGUGUUUGUGUGUAUAGGUAUAUAUAUAUCGGUGUAUAUAUAGAGAGAGAUAUAAAUAUAUAUAUAGGCUUAUAUAUAUAUAUAUAUGAAAGGGGCGCGUGUACACAAAUACAUACAUAUAUACACAGAGUUAACUGCUUUUUUUUGCUAAUCCAAAAGAGAAAGAAGAUACUAAACUCUCACUCUGUGAAGUUGCAUACUUAAUUUUGAUGCCUGACUUGUUUUGCAUAAUUAAUUCUAUCCUUAAAACAGCAGAAGCUAUUUCAUAUCUUUCCCGUAAUGAGUCUUCUAAAGCAAGGUUUGUCAGGAAGGAGCUCAAUGCAUGCUGCUUUUGAGUUGUACCUGCUGGUGACAUAAUUAGAACUUAUCAACAUGUGGAGAGAACUCUCCAAUUCAUCUUUGAAUUCCCUGCAUAUAUCCCAAGGACUCCAGUCCCUGAUGUAUCUAACCUUGCAAAGAGGCAGUCUUUUAAGAGCCCAGCCAAUGACAUGAAAGUGUUUGUAUUCUUUCCAAACCCAAACACUGACCUUGUACUAAAUCAGCCUUUGAAACUGCGUAACUGACAAUAUGAAAUCAUUUUAUCAGCUGUCUUUUUAAAUUAUCAGAUAUUUGUGAUUUUAUGCAGUCUUUUCUUUACUGCAGUAGCAGCUUCUUGUUGCAGAAAUUAUCUAAGUUUCUCCUUUUGGCAAGCAAUUUAUUCCUAAUGAUCAGAUGGGCAAUAUUUGGGAUGAAAUAGGGAGUUAUCUCAAUGCAUAUGUACAUGAGGAGCUCUUGGAUUAGGACACAUCUCUUCAAAAUUAAUUUAAAGAGAGAAAAUAGAUGAAGAAUAUGGAUUUCACACAAUAGGCCAUGAAUCACAUUAAGUAUGUUAUAUGUGUACACUGUCUCAGGAGCCAGAUCUGCCCGUAUGAUCUGUCCUGAAAUCAUGUCCUUUUACUAUACCCAAGGAGGAAAGAAAUAACUGGAAAUCACUGCUAUAUAGCGUGUUUGUAGCAUUCUGGCAGUUUGACGAUGUUAAUUUCCAAGGCCUUUCUCUUCAUGCUGUGAGUUUCAGUGUUAAUAAAGAUUGCAUAUUUGAAAAAUAAAGGGAAUUUUUUCCACGA